UAUAGUUAUAUAUUAUGUCCCAUCGCUAGAGGUCGACAUGCAAAUGUUGAACUGAGUGACUCUCCAACCUCGUCAGAGGAAGAGGUCUCUAGGAAACCAAAGGAAGCUUUUCCACACCCGGGUAGCCUCUCCAUCUCAGGUCUUGGGGAUGGGGAUGCGGUUGCAGCUUCAGUGUCUGCAGCUGGACUCCGUACGGAGUGUCCUGGAGGCAGUGAUCCGGAGGAGCUUUGGUCUUGAUGGAGUACAGGUGCUGUUCACACGGGACAAACGCUGUUGACACGCCACGGAAAACGCGUCCUCACAGCCCUGCGGGUGGAACAAAAAGCCCCACUAAAACCCGCUCUGGCUCUCAGGAAAAAAACUGCAGCUCCAAAUUCGCUCCAUUCAUUAAAAUCACAAUUUAAUACCCAACAGUUUUUUUUGACUACCUGAACCUACUAUUUGGUUUUGAAGCAUAGAAACCAAAACAUAUGGUUUGAAUGAAAAAUACUUUAAUGAGCAUGAAAAGGUGAACGUAAGAAGAGCUCAAUUUCAAAUAGACAAGGUGUCAUAUUAAACAGCAUAUAAACACGAAAUAGGUCAGCAGCCAGACAGGGAGCCUAAGAAGGAAUGCAAAUGAAUUAUUCAUGCGAUAUUAAAAAUGUUUCAAGGCUAUAGCCUACAAAGAAAUAUAUUGUGAAGCAUUUCUGAGUGCAACACACAGCUGGUAGGGAGUCAUGGACAUUAAGCACUCAGCAUUUUAACAACAGUUUGUUGUAUUAAAUCAUAAUAGUCUAAAUUGCGCAUAUAAUCUGUGACACUUAGAAUUAAAUACACACUAAAAUGAAAAAUGCCUUAUUAGGCUCAGUCUAGAGUUCCUUUGAAUUUAUUUUUAGAAACACCAGUGUUUGGCCAGGGUCUGUGGCUUCAGGCUCAUGUGAUGGUGCCUCUAGAGCAGGGCAGCAAUGGAGAAUAUCCUCUCCAAGCUUGCAGAGCCACUGGGGAUGCUAAACACCCUUAUGGCCACUCUUGACAAGCUGGGCAGGGAUGCAGAGUUGUUAUUUUCUUCUUCUAUUGGUAAGCCUAAAGGUUUUUAGGCAAAUAAACCCAAUCAAAAUGGAAAGUACCUUGAAAGUUGGAAUAUGAAAAUCAAUCAUGGCCUAUUGUAUAGAUAAUCUAACAAAAAUGAAGGAAACUUUUAUGAGGUCAGAUUUUUUUGGGUAUAAAUACUUUGCUACAAUGAAACUUAAUUAGCUACUCACCUCAUUCCUUUCUUUUAGCAUGUGCAUGUAGUAAGUACACCAUCAUGCUUUUGAGAUAUGUGUCAUUUCAGAUUCCGCAAUGAUUCUUUAGUUGUGGACAUUCCAUCACCACACUCCCUCUCUUGCUCUUGGUCCUCAUCUUUGUAAUUCACCUUGAUUUUGCACCUGUGUGUUUUAUCAGUUUCUUUACGAAAAUAUUUAGCACACCAUGACAGUAGCUAAAGUAAGGGGCUAUAGCAGCACACAAGUAGACUACAAAUGCAUGCUGUGCCAGGAAUGCCCAGAGCUCGUGAAGUGAGUGCUAUUGGAGCAAAAUUGGAGCGGGCGAGAAGGCCGAUGCUCUAGCCUUUGGGAAUCUCGCUCCAUGCUCCAGUCAAAUUGGGCACGCUCCAGCUCCGCCCACAUACUCUGACACACACACACACACACACACACGUUCACACUUACAAUAAUUUGUGAAAUCUCAAUCUCUGUGUGUGUGUGUGUGUGUGUGUGUGUGUAGGAUGGUGGUGGAGUGUGUGAGGAGACACAGCUCGGUGACAGGAGAUGGCUCCCAGACCUUCGUCCUGCUGCUCGCCUCAUUGCAACGGGAGAUACAGAAACACACCCGAAAAGCCCCCUGGGAAGGUGCCAAGUGUUUGGCUGAAGCUCUGCUGGCCUUCGCAUUGGACGAGCUCAGUGAUGUUAUCACUGUUGGAGUGGCUCCACCUGGCUCCUCCCUUUCAGACACACACACCCCAGGACAGACAGAUACACCUACUCAGUGCUUUCCUUCACACCCGGAUCAGCCCUACUCAUGCGGAAAUCUAAGCUAAUAUAGGGAUAGAAAGUGUGUGUGUGUGAUCAGGGCGGGUGUUAGACAGUGUGUGUGUCACCCUACAGCAUCUAGGAGUGUCUCUGCUCCUCUCAUCAGUCAGACAGUCGGAGGCCUUCCUGGCUGCAGUGGGGAGGUACGGUGUGUGUGUGUUAGAGUGUGUGUGAAGACGACCUUACCUUGUUCUCUGUGCUCAGUGGAGCCCAGCCUGUCUCAGACUGGGCCGUGAUUGGACAGGAACAUGUUGCUACGGUGACCUUCUGCCGGCCGCUGGUGCUGGGAGCUCACAGGUUCGUCAAUGUGGGGUUUCCUAAGGCAGAGGACAGGGGCAGACCCCACAGUCUGCUUGUGUGUGGACAGACAGAGGGCCAGGCGGAACAGAGUGUAUGUGCUGUACGAGAUGCUCUACACAUGCUGCAUACUACUACCUGGGGGCCCAAACACAGGACUGGAGCUACAGAAAGAACCGCUUACACACACACAGACACACACACAAACACACACACAGACGUGAUGGAGCCUUGUUGUGUAAUUUCCGUGGGCAGGACUUUUGACUUCCUGUUACACCACACCCUCCAUCAAACACAGACACGCACACUCCGUCAAACACAGACACGCACACUCCGUCAAACACAGACAUGCACACUCCGUCAAACACAGACACGCACACUCCGUCAAACACAGACACGCACACUCCGUCAAACACAGACACGCACACUCCGUCAAACACAGACACGCACACUCCGUCAAACACAGACACGCACACUCCGUCACACUUGGACACCCCUGCCGCCUCGGGGAUGUUAGCAGAGGCCCUACUGAGUGUGCCCAGACAGAUCUACUCCCACAAUCCUCGGCGCUACCUUGAGGCUCUCGCACACACUCUCAGCUGCAUACGUAACCAUGGUAACUCUCCGGACCCGCUGGAGACAGUGCUGUUCUGGUAGUGGAUGGUUCUAAUAUGGUCCAGGCUGACACUAGGUCAAGGUCUGGGUCAGGGGUAAAGGAGAUGACAGUUUGGUCAAGCUCUGGCUCUAGUUCAGGUGUGGAGUCAGUGUCCUGUAUGUAUCAUCUGAUCCUGGCUGUUCUACAGUGUCUCAGGAGUCUAGUGUCUGUGGACACUGUACUACACGCUAAUACCUCACACACCUGUCAGAGAGAAGAGGAGGAGGGUGACGACUGAGAACUCAUACUUGAUUUUAUUUCAUUGUUCAUCCAAAAGUUUUGUAUUCAAUUCUUGAAAAAGUAUCUCCUUGUGUAGUAUGUCUUUGCAUAUGAAUUUCUAUGUUAAUAAAUCCGAUUUGAUUAAA
ensembl:lncRNA